rnacentral:rRNA from 1 species
UACAGAGGUCCCAAGCGUUGUUCGGAUUCACUGGGCGUAAAGGGUGCGCAGGUGGGUUGGCAAGUUUGAUGUGAAAGCCCCGGGCUUAACCCGGGAAUGGCAUUGAAUACUGCUGAUCUGGAGGAUCGGAAGGGGGACUGGAAUUCUUGGUGUAGCAGUGAAAUGCGUAGAUAUCAAGAGGAACACCAGUGGCGAAGGCGAGUCCCUGGACGAUACCUGACACUGAGGCACGAAAGCCAAGGGAGCAAACAGG